GUGCUCGCUUCGGCAGCACAUAAACUACAAUUGGAACGAUACAGAGAAGAUUAUCAUGGCCCCUGCACAAGGAUGACACACAAAUUCAUGAAGUGUUCCAUAUUUAA
rnacentral:snRNA from 1 species